rnacentral:lncRNA from 13 species
AACCAGCAAUAUCUCACAGUGCUUUCUGGGGGGCUAUGCCCAGGCUGGAGAGACACAUGACCUGGUUGUUGGACCCAGAGUUAUGUCACAAUCUUCCCUGAAGGCAGGGUGCAGGCAGAGGAGAGAAACAUCCCCCAGGUGAUAGAUGCAGGGAAAUAUCAAAAAGCCCUCUGUAGUCAGGUCCAAGGCAAAAGUCUCUCAUCUCCUAGGUUUUGGACCCAGCAAUAUGUCACAAUAACAAAAUUAUGCAAGGCCCACGUAAAAGAAGAGAAUCACAUCAUUAUGUGCUUGGUCCCAUGAUGAGUCAGUAUCCUUCUUUUUGUCAGGACCCAGAAGGAAGGGGUGAAUGACAUCACCUAGGUAACUAACGUGACAUGUGAUAAUGCCCCUGUGGGAAGGGCCCAUACAGGAGUCUCACAUGACCUAGACAUUGUACCCAACCAUAUCACAAUAGCAAUGUAUGUACAGCCCAGGGAGGAGAGGGACAUCACAUAAUGUGGGCCUGGUGACACAUCACAAUCUUUUAUUGGACAGAACCCAAGCAGCAGAGAAGAGUCAUAUCACUUAGUUGCUGGGUCUUACAACAUAUAACAAUACACCCUGAGGAGGAGAUCAGGCAACAGAGUCACAUUACUUAGGUGAUGGGCUCAGAUAUGUUAUAAUGUCCCCAGGUGAGCAGGGCUAAGGAGCAAGAGAAAAGUCAUAUAAACUAGAGCCAGGGCCAAGCUAUAUGUCGAAAUUACUCCAGUGGGGAGCACUGAGGCAUGAGAGGAAAGUCACAUCAUGCAGGAGCUGGGCCAAGCAAUAUGUAGCAGUCUCCACUUUGAACAAGUCUGAAAAUAAGAAGGGUCACAUCAACUAGGUGAUGAACUCAGAAACAUGUCAAAAUGAUUCCUGUCAGGAAGAUCAGGCUGGAGUACAAUGGCAUGAUUUCAGCUUACCACAACCUCAGCCUCCUGGGUUCAAGCAAUUCUCGAGACUCAGCCUCCUGAGUAGUUGGGAUUACAGGUGUGUGCCACCACACCCAGCUAAUUUUGUAUUUUUAGUAGAGAUGGGUGUCCGACCUACCCUCUGCGGGAGGACUGAGCUCGUUUGGAACAAAAACCGGACCGCAAGUUAGAAGAAAUUCCUUAAGUUCAGGGUUUAUUGAGAGGAAAGAGCCUCCGGGCGGACCAGCUGGGAAGAAGAGGAAAAUGGCCGUGCCGCUCAGAGGGGCAGGGUUCUUUUAUAGGGGGGCUGAAGGACUGAGGGAGAGAGCUGAGGUGGUGGGCAACGUUUGGUCAGUUUGAACCGCUGGGCGGGAAGCUGGGGAGAGCUGAUGAGGCAGAAGCCGGGCAGCGGGGAGCUGGGGAGUGCUGAUGAGGCAGAAGCCGGGCGGGAGGUGGCUGCGGCUGGGCAGGAAGGCUAGGGCGGUAUGUAGAGUGAGAGAUAAGGGAGCCUCUUUGUGGGGGAGGGAAAGAGAGAGAGCUUUCAAGGUAGGGGCAGAGUUUUCCAAACAUUCCCGACUCCUUAAAAGAAAAGAAAAAGAGGGGGUCAGGGGCGCCGGUUGUCUCUCUGGCUACUUCCUGCUGACAAGGGUCGACGGGGGGUUCUGAAGAGGUCUCUUUUCCUAAGGAGCCUGGGUGUUCGGGGAGAGGUCCGCUUCUAGCACUCGUUCAGGGUAGGGUUGGAGCAGCAUCUGGUGGAUGGUGACUCGAGUCAGUUCUUGAAAGCGCUGCUGUAGGAACUGUAGAAGGCAAGGAGCAAUAAGAUUAGGCAAACGGCUACUAGGGGCCCAAGCAACGGGGACAAGAGGGUAUACAUAGAGGAAGACCACCACGCUGUGGCUUCAGCCGAGAACUUCUGAUUCUGCAGGUUAGUUUUGAGUUUCUGGAGGCUCUCGAUUCGGGUUUCUACUAGGCCGGAUUCAUUGAUGUAGUAACAGCACUCUUCUUGUAGGAAGAUACAGGUCCCUCCUCGUUCAGCAGUGAGCAGGUCUAGGGCUCUUCGGUUCUGCAAGGCAACUUGGGCAACUGAGGUGAUCUGUCUUUGGAGAGAGGCUAAAGAUUCUGUAGAAUUGUCGAUGGCGGCCUGAAAUUGAGAGGUGAGUCGUGCUAGAGCCUGAUGGGAGUGGGCUAGGGCUCCUCCCCCUAGUCCGGCUCCUAUGGCUGAUCCGGCGAGAGAGAGACCUACUAUGAGGGGUAAAAAGGCGGCCCGUCAUACACGAUGAUGUAUGAAUUGUUGUUGGAACUCUGCUGGGGAGUAAAUGGUUAAUCGGGGUACGAGGGUUACUGGUAAGCAUAGGCUGCGGGAGUGUGUAGAGGGGUUGAGGGUUUUAAAAAGUGUUCUGUUGCACCAUCGUGUUCUCGGAGAAGAGCUCGGAGAAGGGUGAAAUAGGGCAGGUAGGUAGAUAGAGGAGGGGGGUCUGGUGGUAGGGGGGAGGAGAGUAAGAAGGGCCGUCCGUAGAGCAGCUCAAAAGGGCUGAGUUGUGAGGGGCCCCGGGGGCUUGCUCGGAGCCUUGUCAAAGCGAUAGGAAGUAGGGUAACCUAGGACUGGCGGAGUUCGAAGGCAAGUUUUGUUAGGUGUUCUUUGAUGAGGCCGUUGGCCUGUUCUACUUUACCCGAGGAUUGGGGAUGGUAGGCUGCAUGCAGUUUCCACUGAAUCCCUAAGGAUGUGGAAACAGCAGUGGUAAUCUUAGAAAUAAAGGCAGGUCCGUUGUCUGACUGGAUGGUAGA